UUUCCGUAGGUGAACCUGCGGAAGGAUCAUUAAUGAGUUGUCAUGGGGUUCGAUGCUGGCAGCCAGUUUUUGGAUGCAUGUGCUUGGCCUAACAAUCAUCUUCUUCCAAACACCUGUGCACAUUUUUGAGGGAGUCUUGAGUUGGUUGCCGCUCUUGGGUGAUUUUCUCACACUCCCUUAAAUCAUUAUACGCUAUUAACAAUGUUGAACGUGCUCUGUGCCGCAAGGCCAUUAAUAUAAUACAACUUUUAACAACGGAUCUCUUGGCUCUC
rnacentral:misc_RNA from 1 species